CAGAGAGUGACGCAAGGGUGUGCGGAGCAGUUCUUCAGUUUCCCCCGGUAGGCCGUCUCUCCACCUGAUAAUAGGAACGUUCCUGUUGUAAAUACGCUGUGAAUGCCCAUUGACAUCGACAUCAAGAGACAUCAAGUGCUGGCAGGAAGAUGUCUUUGUGCAGAGGCAGACAGAGUGAUAAACUGACACAGAGGCAUCAAGAGACAUCAAGUGCUGGCAGGAGUUUUGCUGUGGAGUGUCUGUUCAGGGCCAAGUUGAGUGUGACCACAAGACUGAUGGGUCUUGCGAUGUGUGCUACAUUUUUCUGUUGGUCCUGUGAUGCUUUCCUGAAGUUCUCCAUCCCACCUGUCAGUGAAGGGGUCAGAGUUUAUGAUGAGACAGGAAUUGAGGUGGAUGCAGAUGUCUUUGAAGAAGUAGCACAGCAACCCAACGUUGCUGUAUUCACUAUCAGAUUUGAUGGUGGUUCCCAGGGAACAACAUCGUCCAGCUGUUCACAACGGACAGCUUCAUCUGCUAGUCCACUACUUGAUGUCGCAACUAAUUCAGAGUUGGAACUUUCAGCCUGCAGCUCUAAUGAUACCAUUAUCCUGGCUGAGGAUGACAGUCCUUCCAGAAAGCGGCAGAAGGCAAAUAAAGAUGCCAAACAUGCAAGUUGAUGUGUAAAAUUAGUUUGUUGGGACAGCGUCCUUGAUGGGAUUGCACACUUUUUAAUAUUUUUUAUUUUAUUUUUUAGGUUUAUUGACUGUCAGUUGUUGAAGAUUAUUUAAUUUUUAGUGAGCACUGGUUUGUCUUCUACUUCUACGAUCUUUCACAGUUAGUUCAGUCUGCACUGACUAAUAAACCUGGUGGAGACUGCAUUGUCAAAGAAUACAGCCGAAGGUAUGACUGACUCAUCACGGUGACAGAUGGUUAACAUCCUCGCAGCAGAUAUGACUGAAAUUCAUGGACGUCACUGCCACGGCAUGUGAGAGAGAUGUGUGCUCGAGGCAUAGUCGCCUUGUUCCCUUACCUUACCUGAUGGACCCAUAUUCCAAAAAUGGAUAUGAACAUUUCUAUGAUGGUGAAAGUGGCAGUGGUUACUUAGCAUGGAGACUCAAAACCAUCCAAAGGAAGAGUGCUCCAUCAGAGUGCAGAGGGUCAUCGCGUGAGCUGACAGAUGGAGGGCCAACAACUAGAAGAGAUGGCUUCAUUUAAUCCUGAGAUGACGCUGAGCAAAGAGCAGUGCAGGGAAGCCAUGUCCUUCAUGAAGCAUUCCUCUGAUGAGGCCACCAUCAAGCAGAAGUUGAAGAUGACUUUUCAAUAUCGUUGCAAUGUGAUCCUGGAUGAAGAGAAAUCCCCAGAUGUUUUGACUGAAUUUCUGCACUUCAAAGACGUCAAAGGCCUUGUAAUUUAGUAUUUUGAUAGUAUAAUAAUAUUAUGUGCAGCUGUCUCCACCACCCAACACAUUUGGUGCCCUCUCCCCAUCCUUUCCUUGUGUUGCGGUAUCUUAUUCCAUCUACAGUCUGGGCACUAGUCACUUUCCAUUUAACUCCAAUCAAUAUCAAAAUCAGAGAUUGCACAUGUAUUGUAGAAAACCCAUAGAGAUUUAAUGAAUGAGCAUGACUUAAUUAAAUGAAGCAUUACAAAGCUGCAGUGUGAAUGAGGAGUGGUUUCAAAUGUUGAGCCAUUUUGAAUCAGUUGGUGCAUUGAGGAAGUCAAACAUGCAUGCCUAAAAAGGUGUUAGGAUUCAUACAUUUUCAUUAUGCCCCUUUAUGCCCUACUGACCACUUAGUAUGUCCCCCUAUGACCCCUAUGACCCCUGCCUACUAAAUACUAACACUACCAUGCACCAGCAGGGUCCUCACGCUGCCCAUGACUGCCCGUGACUCCACUUAACAAACACGCUGCUUAUGAACCUACACGCACAUCAUUCAUUGCUCAUUACAUUAUGACGUCUACAACACUUAUGUGCUAUAAUAUUGCACAAUACAUAUAGAUUGUCUUUUUCCAUCUUUUCCUAUUAUCUCACAUUAUUAAAAGAGUUGCGCACAUCCUGUUGACGAAUGAGGUGGUCAGAAGCAUUAGUCUCUUUUAUGAGGGGCUAAUACAUGGAGAGCAAAGCCAGGGUAUGAGAGAGAACUCAUUCACCUUUCACUUAUCCCUUUCAUACAUGAAGAGGCCUCUUCCAGGCCAGCGAUAUCACCUCCCAAAUCCCUUGUGCAUAUGCAACAGUGAAGGUGCCAUAAACAAAGGCGGAUAUGGAGGACAGGCAGAUGAGGCCAGGGACAUUUUGUUUUCUUCAACAGGGUGACGUCUUCAGGAAUCAUGGUUUGUGUGCCAAGAAACUGGGACCAGUUUGUGCACCACCGAUGGGAGGGCCAAAGAUUCUCCCCACCUUUUUUACUUGAUUUUCCAGUAAUAGUAUUCAUCCUAUGUAUAUGAUUGACCAAUGACAAUUCAACACAUACAGUGUAACAGCAAUAUAUAACGUAUUACAUGCUGAAAUUCUGCAGCUUUUUCUAGACGAUUGGUUGCAGCUAACAGCGUUUCUGCUUAGGGCUCUGCUGCCUGCAAUUUUUGAAACAGAGGAAGUCCUUGAUAUCAAGCCUUUUCUUAAUGAUACAGUUCUUAUACUUAAUUAAUAGUUACUGGAACGUCGUAGUCUGUCUUCUCUUAAAUCUCAAACAAACGAACACGCCUGACAAAGAUCAAACAAUUGACACACAAAUCUCCAUGGAUUACAUACAUUUAUAGACUUACACAUUUCUGAGGUUUAUCUUAAUGUCAUUUUGCUCUUCCAUUGUAAGUGACUGUAUCUGGCAUUUAUCUAUUGCAGGUGGAGUAAGACUUCAUCCUGCUAUUUGAAGAAAAUGUAGCUGCCAAGUUUUUGGAGAGGUGGCCUACUACAUUUAAACAAAAGGUCAUGCAGCAGUACAAGGCUCUCCCUACUUAAAGCGACCUUGGAGAACUGAUCAAUUGCACAGAAGCUAAGUCGUAUGAAUAGGAAAUGGAUGAUUACACUUGACUCUGGAUGGGACAGUGAUCUUUCCUUCAUCAUCCUCCUCCUCCACCUGAUUCCUCCUUCAGCCCAAGGCUGGAAAAGACCAGGCAAAGUGUCUGCAUUUCAAGCUGAGGAGCAUCUUGUUGUGUUCAAGAAGCGGAACAAGCAUCCAGGUUGAUGCCAUCAACAGCACCACUCAACCCUAUUUGCUUGCCGUUGGGAUGAAGAGGAGCGCCAUCAACGAGUUCUUCAUCGUUCUGGACAAGCAGGUCAUACCAUGCAAGUCGACCAGUUCUCUUGGAGCUUUUCAUGAACUCUUUAAAGCGCAGUUUGUAUUUGGUACCAUUUACAGUCCGGUGCUCCACAACAUGUACACCUUCAUACAAACAACUGUGUACAACAUAGUCAAGGUCCUGGAGAGCCCACGUGUUUCUGAGGUCAGGGCCAGACUCCCACACUAGUUAAUGCAUACAUUGACACACGGGUUGGGCAAUUUUUGCUGUUUUUCUGUCAACGCAAUGGUACAGUAUAAUCAGAAAAUCGCUCACAAUAC